rnacentral:piRNA from 1 species
UGCCCAAGACAGAUAAUGCUUCAAAGGAUGGU